CCAGCAGCCGCGGUAAUUCCAGCUCCAGUAGCGUAUAUUAAAGUUGUUGCAGUUAAAAAGCUCGUAGUUGGAUUUCUGACUUCAGACACCUGACCCUCCCUCGCUAGAGGUGUGUGUGCCGGAGUGUUUGUAUCAUCCUUUCAGUGAUCGGUUCUACCCUUAACCGGGUCGGAGCUGCUAACUGGAUCUUUUACUUUGAAGAAAUUGGAGUGUUUAAAGCAGGCUUACGCCAGAACAUAUUAGCAUGGAAUAAUAAUUUAGGACUUUUGUUCUAUUUUGUUGGUUUCUAGGACGAAAGUAAUGAUUGAUAGGGAUAGUUGGGGGUGCUAGUAUUCGGCGGCCAGAGGUGAAAUUCUUUGAUCCGCUGAAGACUAACUUAUGCGAAAGCAUUCACCAAGGAUGUCUUCUUUAAUCAAGAACGAAAGU
rnacentral:rRNA from 1 species